UACGGAGGGGGUUAGCGUUGUUCGGAAUUACUGGGCGUAAAGCGCACGUAGGCGGAUCAGAAAGUAAGAGGUGAAAUCCCAGGGCUCAACCCUGGAACUGCCUUUUAAACUCCUGGUCUUGAGUUCGAGAGAGGUGAGUGGAAUUCCGAGUGUAGAGGUGAAAUUCGUAGAUAUUCGGAGGAACACCAGUGGCGAAGGCGGCUCACUGGCUCGAUACUGACGCUGAGGUGCGAAAGCGUGGGGAGCAAACAGG
rnacentral:rRNA from 1 species